CUGUUCUUCUGGAGGACCCAAGUUCAGCUCCCAGUCCUGAUGUGAAAUCUCAGCCUGGUAAGAUGACCCAGGAACCAUCAACUGCAGGAGAUUAUGGCUCAGACUGGAAGGAAGCUCUGUGAUGGGAAGGACUGUCUACUUUCGUCAACACUAUGAACCCAGAGUUUGACAUGUGUAGGAGCCAAGAAACCUACUUAUCAAAAUUUGGAAUCCAGAGAAAACACUCCUGAGGGCACAGCUUACCUGUAAUGACCAAUAAGAAGAUACCAAGGCUCCUUCAGAAUCCAGUCCUACCCUCUGUGAACGAACUACACAGCUGGGCCAGUGUAGCUGUGCCUGUUACAUAUUUUCUGUCAGUAAGAAGUCGGGUAUCCAUUCUGAGUUGAUAGUUAAAUGAGUGAGAAUGAGACGCCUGAGACAUGC